rnacentral:lncRNA from 1 species
GAGCGGGCUGGGAGCACGCAUGCGCGGGGCGUGACCAGGCACUUCCGGUUUUCCUGAAAGCUUGCACUUCCCGUCUCGCGCUCGUGGGAGGGGCGUAGUUUGCUGUUCUGGCUUCUUUCUGAGAGCUGGUUGAAAGUGGGCGUUUGUCCAAGUUUGGGUGUUUUUUUGUGGCCACUGUAGUUGUCCUAGUCAUAUCUCGAGAAAAACGAACACUUUUCCCGCCUUCCUUUUGCAAAUUCAUUCAUUCACUAUUGAGCGCCUACGCCUUGUCAAACACGGUGCUGGGAAUGGGGAUGAAUCAGUCUGUGAGCAAGGAGUUUCCAGUAGCGUUGACCAGACAGGACAAACUUAUGAGUGUGUAAAGGAUAAAGGCUAGGAAAUUAAGGCGGAUUAAGGAUUUCAGAAGCCUUUUUGAAGGAAAAGAACUGAGUAAUCCAGACUUGGGGAAAGAAGUGCUAUCCAAUAAUAGAAUUUGAUGUCUUUGAGAUGGUUUGCGAUUGGAUAAAACCACACAAAUAUGGGCAGAGGUGAAAUACUCCCUGAAGGAAAUGAAUUAUACCACUGUCAGUCUUCCUAAAAAGAGAUCAGAUCCUGGAGCCAGAGAUAAGGUGAAUUUGGUCUUAAAUGAACACCAGCAAUAGCCUUGAAUCAGAAGUGUGAAAAUUGGAAAUAUGUGAAGAAAGUAGGAGCAGUGUAAGGAAAUACUUUGACCCUGCCUGUACCAUGGGAGAAAUGUGGCUGUACGUUCGAAGGUUACUUUCCGUGUUCCACGGACAUCUGAAGAAGGCUCUUUUAAGAAACCCAGAUGUCAGACUCUAGAAACCAAGCAUGUCAGAUCAAACUCUGGGUACUUGGAGGCUCUCCAUCUCUAAUCUUUCUGCCAAUGACCCUGCUUUCAGUCCCUCCAUACAAAUGCAUAGUUAAACAGGCC